UGCAGUCGAACGCCCUAGCAAUAGGGAGUGGCGCACGGGUGAGUAACACGUGGGAAUAUGCCCUUCAGUACGGAACAACGUCGGGAAACUGACGCUAAUACCGUAUAACGUCUUCGGACCAAAGAUUUAUCGCUGAAGGAUUAGCCCGCGUAAGAUUAGGUAGUUGGUGAGGUAAUGGCUCACCAAGCCGACGAUCUUUAGCUGGUCUUAGAGGAUGAUCAGCCACACUGGGACUGAGACACGGCCCAGACUCCUACGGGAGGCAGCAGUGAGGAAUCUUGGACAAUGGGCGAAAGCCUGAUCCAGCCAUGCCGCGUGAGUGAUGAAGGCCUUCGGGUUGUAAAGCUCUUUCAGAUGUGAAGAUAAUGACGGUAGCAUAAGAAUAAGCAUCGGCUAACUCCGUGCCAGCGGCCGCGGUAAUACGGAGGAUGCGAGCGUUAUCCGGAUUUAUUGGGUUUAAAGGGUGCGUAGGCGGACUGAUAAGUCAGUGGUGAAAUAUCCCGGCUCAACCGGGAGGCUGCCAUUGAUACUGUUAGUCUUGAGUGUAAACGAAGUGGGCGGAAUGUGGAGUGUAGCGGUGAAAUGCAUAGAUAUUCCACAGAACACCGAUAGCGAAGGCAGCUCACUAGCAUACAACUGACGCUGAGGCACGAAAGCGUGGGGAUCAAACAGGAUUAGAUACCCUGGUAGUCCACGCUGUAAACGAUGAUCACUAGCUGUAGGCGAUACACUGUCUGUGGCUAAGCGAAAGCGAUAAGUGAUCCACCUGGGGAGUACGACCGCAAGGUUGAAACUCAAAGGAAUUGACGGGGGCCCGCACAAGCGGAGGAGCAUGUGGUUUAAUUCGAUGAUACGCGAGGAACCUUACCUGGGCUUGAACGUAUGGUGCAUGGUGGGUGAAAGCCAUCUUUCUAGCAAUAGACUUCAUACGAGGUGCUGCAUGGGUUGUCGUCAGCUCGUGCCGUGAGGGGGUUAGGUUAAGUCCUGCAACGAGCGCAACCCCUUGUAUUAAGUUGCCAUCAGGGUAAAGCUGGGGCACUCU
rnacentral:rRNA from 1 species